GUGAGGAAUAUUGGUCAAUGGGCGAGAGCCUGAACCAGCCAAGUCGCGUGAAGGAAGAAGGAUCUAUGGUUCGUAAACUUCUUUUGCAGGGGAAUAAAGUGCAGGACGUGUCCUGUUUUGUAUGUACCCUGAGAAUAAGGAUCGGCUAACUCCGUGCCAGCAGCCGCGGUAAUACGGAGGAUCCGAGCGUUAUCCGGAUUUAUUGGGUUUAAAGGGUGCGUAGGUGGUUUGAUAAGUCAGCGGUGAAAGUUUGCAGCUUAACUGUAAAAAUGCCGUUGAAACUGUCGGACUUGAGUGUAAAUGAGGUAGGCGGAAUGCGUGGUGUAGCGGUGAAAUGCAUAGAUAUCACGCAGAACUCCGAUUGCGAAGGCAGCUUACUAAGCUACAACUGACACUGAAGCACGAAAGCGUGGGGAUCAAACAGGAUUAGAUACCUGGUAGUCC
rnacentral:rRNA from 1 species